rnacentral:rRNA from 1 species
GACGAACGCUGGCGGCCCGCCUUACUCAUGCAAGUCGAACGACAGAGAGGGAGCUUGCUUCCUCAAUCGAGUGGCGAACGGGUGAGUAACGCGUGAGGAACCUGCCUCAUAGAGGGGGACAACAGUUGGAAACGACUGCUAAUACCGCAUAAUCCCCACGACCCGGCAUCGGGUAGAGGGAAAAGGAGCAAUCCGCUUUGAGAUGGCCUCGCGUCCGAUUAGCUAGUUGGUGAGGUAACGGCCCACCAAGGCGACGAUCGGUAGCCGGACUGAGAGGUUGAACGGCCACAUUGGGACUGAGACACGGCCCAGACUCCUACGGGAGGCAGCAGUGGGGAAUAUUGCACAAUGGGGGAAACCCUGAUGCAGCGACGCCGCGUGGAGGAAGAAGGUCUUCGGAUUGUAAACUCCUGUUGUUGAGGAAGAUAAUGACGGUACUCAACAAGGAAGUGACGGCUAACUACGUGCCAGCAGCCGCGGUAAAACGUAGGUCACAAGCGUUGUCCGGAAUUACUGGGUGUAAAGGGAGCGCAGGCGGGAAGACAAGUUGGAAGUGAAAUCCAUGGGCUCAACCCAUGAACUGCUUUCAAAACUGUUUUUCUUGAGUAGUGCAGAGGUAGGCGGAAUUCCCGGUGUAGCGGUGGAAUGCGUAGAUAUCGGGAGGAACACCAGUGGCGAAGGCGGCCUACUGGGCACCAACUGACGCUGAGGCUCGAAAGUGUGGGUAGCAAACAGGAUUAGAUACCCUGGUAGUCCACACUGUAAACGAUGAAAACGAGGUGUUGGAGGAUUGACCCCUUCAGUGCCGCAGUAAACACAAAAAGUAAUCCACCUGGGGAGUACGACCGCAAGGUUGAAACUCAAAGGAAAUGACGGGGGCCCGCCCCAACCAGUGGAGUAUGUGGUUUAAUUUGACGCAACGCGAAGAACCUUACCAAGUCUUGACAUCCUGCGACGCACAUAGAAAUAUGUGUUUCUUUCGGGACGCAGAGACAGAUGGUGCAUGGUUGUCGUCAGCUCGUGUCGUGAGAUGUUGGGUUAAGUCCCGCAACGAGCGCAACCCUUAUGGUCAGUUACUACGCAAGAGGACUCUGGCCAGACUGCCGUUGACAAAACGGAGGAAGGUGGGGAUGACGUCAAAUCAUCAUGCCCUUUAUGACUUGGGCUACACACGUACUACAAUGGCGUUAAACAAAGAGAAGCAAGACCGCGAGGUGGAGCAAAACUCAGAAACAACGUCCCAGUUCGGACUGCAGGCUGCAACUCGCCUGCGCGAAGUCGGAGUUG